CGGGCACGGACACGGGGGUGGAUCUUCCCUCCCUGCCCGCCCCGAUCCCCCCCGGGGCUCCCCCGGUCCCUCUUCGGGCACCCCGCCCGGUGAUGCCCCGGGGGAUCUCCCCGCCCCCCCCAGCACCGCCCGCGGCCCCCCGGCCGCCCCAAUCAUUCCGGACCCGGACCCGGACCCCCCUCCAGCCCCGGGCUCCGCAGCUGCCCAGAUGUGGCAGCACAGCUGGAGGAGCGGCAGCAGAGAUGUUUUGGGUGGAUUUACCGGGCGAUGCUCGUGGCUGGCAGCCCAGCUCCUUCCCCAUGGACGGUUUUCAAGGACUUCCCUUUACAGCUGAGACUGGCCAACUCGUGCCACUGGUGCUCGGUGCGCCCACACCAGCCGGGCUCGGCUCCCUGCUCCACUCGGCCGUGCUGGAAGCAGGAGGCGCUGCCCCCCGGGAAGCUGUUUAAGCCGAACUCCAAACAAUAAAAACUUAUCAUUAAAAAGAAA